rnacentral:rRNA from 1 species
GAUGAACGCUGGCGGCGUGCCUAAUACAUGCAAGUCGAGCGAACAGACGAGGAGCUUGCUCCUCUGACGUUAGCGGCGGACGGGUGAGUAACACGUGGAUAACCUACCUAUACGACUGGGAUAACUUCGGGAAACCGGAGCUAAUACCGGAUAAUAUAUCGAACCGCAUGGUCCAAUAGUGAAAGACGCUUUUGCUGUCACUUAUAGAUGGAUCCGCGCCGCAUUAGCUAGUUGGUAAGGUAAAGGCUUACCAAGGCGGCGAUGGCUAGCCGACCUGAGAGGGUGAUCGGCCACACUGGAACUGAGACACGGUCCGGACUCCUACGGGAGGCAGCAGUAGGGAAUCUUCCGCAAUGGGCGAAAGCCUGACGGAGGACCGCGGCGUGAGUCAUGAAGGUGUUAGGAUCGUAAAACUCUGUUAUUCGGGAAGAACAAAUGUGUAAGUACCUAUGCACGUCUUGACGGUACCUAAUCAAAAAGCCACGGCUAACUACGUG